ACGGGAGGCAGCAGUGGGGAAUAUUGCACAAUGGGGGAAACCCUGAUGCAGCGACGCCGCGUGAAGGAAGAAGUAUCUCGGUAUGUAAACUUCUAUCAGCAGGGAAGAUAGUGACGGUACCUGACUAAGAAGCCCCGGCUAACUACGUGCCAGCAGCCGCGGUAAUACGUAGGGGGCAAGCGUUAUCCGGAUUUACUGGGUGUAAAGGGAGCGUAGACGGUGUGGCAAGUCUGAUGUGAAAGGCAUGGGCUCAACCUGUGGACUGCAUUGGAAACUGUCAUACUUGAGUGCCGGAGGGGUAAGCGGAAUUCCUAGUGUAGCGGUGAAAUGCGUAGAUAUUAGGAGGAACACCAGUGGCGAAGGCGGCUUACUGGACGGUAACUGACGUUGAGGCUCGAAAGCGUGGGGAGCAAACAGGAUUAGAUACCCUGGUA
rnacentral:rRNA from 1 species